GAUAAACGCUAGCGGCGCGCCUAAUGCAUGCAAGUCGAGCGAUGAGGUCCUACGGGGCCAUCAGCGGCAGACGGGUGAGUAACACAUGGGUAACCCACCUUCAAGCCGGGGAUAACGUGUGGAAACGCACGCUAAUACCCGAUGCGUACGCUUAAGAGGAGACUGUGAGCGUAGAAAGUUACGGCGCUUGAAGAGGGGCCUGUGGCCCAUCAGUUAGUUGGUAGGGUAACGGCCUACCAAGGCGAAGACGGGUAGGGGGUGUGAGAGCACGGCCCCCCACAAUGGGACUGAGAGACGGCCCAU
rnacentral:rRNA from 1 species